UUUUCUUUUUUUUUCAUUUUUUUUCAUUUUCAUUUUUUUUUGCAUAUCUUUCGAGGAAUAAACAUGCUAUGAUGCACAUGAUGCAGACACGACUGGCAAGCUGUACAUCUCUGAACACAGGAUCAAAACUUCGGCCUGAAUUCUGAUCACAAAUCAUCUGAACCCAAAGUCAACUGGUCAACUGUAGUCUGAACCCAAUCUGAGAAACUGAGUCACCAAUCGGAAUACACUGAGUCACCAACAGUCAUCAACCAGUCACCAACAGUCACCAUCUGUACCUGUUAGAAUGAUCAUUCCCUCCCCACUCACGGGUGUCAUCUAGGCCAGGGUAAGGUCAAGAGAAACGC
rnacentral:lncRNA from 1 species